GACGAACGCUGGCGGCGUGCUUAACACAUGCAAGUCGAACGGAAAGGCCCUGCGUUUGUGGGGUGCUCGAGUGGCGAACGGGUGAGUAACACGUGAGUAACCUGCCCUUGACUUUGGGAUAACUUCAGGAAACUGGGGCUAAUACCGGAUAGGAGCUCCUGCUGCAGGGUGGGGGUUGGAAAGUUUCGGCGGUUGGGGAUGGACGCGCGGCUUAUCAGCUUGUUGGUGGGGUAGUGGCUUACCAAGGCUUUGACGGGUAGCCGGCCUGAGAGGGUGACCGGCCACAUUGGGCCUAAGAUACGGCCCAGACUCCUACGGGAGGCAGCAGUGGCGAAUAUUGCACAAUGGGCGGAAGCCUGAUGCAGCAACGCCGCGUGCGGGAUGACGGCCUUCGGGUUGUAAACCGCUUUCGCCUGUGACGAAGCGUGAGUGACGGUAAUGGGUAAAGAAGCACCGGCUAACUACGUG
rnacentral:rRNA from 1 species